UGGCGGCGUGCUUAACACAUGCUAGUGGCAAACGGGUGAGUAACGCGUAGGCAACCUGGCCUUCAGAUGGGGACAACACUUCGAAAGAGGUGCUAAUACCGAAUGAUGUAUCCAUUCCGCAUGGAGAGGAUACCAAAAGGCCGGGCAACCGGUCACUGAAGGAUGGGCCUGCGUCUGAUUAGCUGGUUGGUGGGGUAACGGCCCACCAAGGCGACGAUCAGUAGCCGGUCUGAGAGGAUGAACGGCCACAUUGGGACUGAGACACGGCCCAAACUCCUACGGGAGGCAGCAGUGGGGAAUCUUCCGCAAUGGGCGCAAGCCUGACGGAGCAACGCCGCGUGAGUGAAGAAGGUUUUCGGAUCGUAAAGCUCUGUUGAGAGGGACGAGAGGCAAGGCUAGGAAAUGAGCUUUGUAGGACGGUACCUUUCGAGGAAGCCACGGCUAACUACGUG
rnacentral:rRNA from 1 species